rfam:Eutrema salsugineum unplaced genomic scaffold scaffold_32, whole genome shotgun sequence.
AACCCAUGGUGAGGACACUCUCGUCGGUACUCUUUGUACCUCUCCCAAACAUCACAGAAAGCUUUACCAGACUGUUGUCUGAACGACAAGAUCUUGUUCCUCAAAGAU